rnacentral:rRNA from 1 species
CAGCAGCCACGGGAACACGAAGGGUGCAAGCGUUAAUCGGAUUUACUGGGCGUAAAGCGUGCGUAGGCGGCUUCUUAAGUCGGAUGUGAAAUCCCUGAGCUUAACUUAGGAAUUGCAUUCGAUACUGGGAAGCUAGAGUAUGGGAGAGGAUGGUAGAAUUCCAGGUGUAGCGGUGAAAUGCGUAGAGAUCUGGAGGAAUACCGAUGGCGAAGGCAGCCAUCUGGCCUAAUACUGACGCUGAGGUACGAAAGCAUGGGGAGCAAACAGGAUUAGAUACCCCCGUAGUCCCUGUCUCUUAUAC